rnacentral:lncRNA from 1 species
GUGUACCCUGCUCUUUCUCCUUCAUUCCGCAGCCUCCUUUGCCCUGUGACCUGCAGGUACUGGACGGUCCCUAGAGAGGAUACCGGGACGCUCCUGAAGCCGCGAGAUGAUUUCAAGCAGAUGCAGCCUGACCAUUAGGGCCAAGGCCAAAUUGCAAAAAAAAAAAGAAGUUUGCCUUUAUUCUACUCCAUCCACAUCUAAACUUUGGAGGUCAAGGCUGUGGACAGAUCAGAAGACAUAGUUCCCUCCUUCUGGGGCUCCACAUCCUUCAUUCACUGAUCUCUGGGAAGGAGGAUGGGUGGCAGGAUGGGUCUUCCAUGAUACUGAAGGGAGAGCCACAUGUUGAUGCCCAGGACCAGCUGCCUCCUUGGUCUGAAAGGCCUGAUCGAGGCCAGGAUUGGCUAUGAGAGCUGGGAAAUGGGACCAUCUUUGAAGCCAUGGGAGAGGGUGAGAGCCACCAUCACUCAUGUUCUUGAAUGGGAACUGCCUGGAGACCCUGAAGAAGAAGGAGCCUGAAGGAGGAAGGAGGAGGCUGAGCCAUCCCGGGAACAUGGGCUGGAUGAGGCCAAGCCAGGAGACGACACCACCAGAUAGAAGUCACCAUUCAGGAUUUGGACUUUUCUGUGGAGAUCCUGGCCCCGAGAUCGAACCCUUCUCCCUGUGGGUGUUCCCGCAGGAGAUGGUGCUGGAGAUCCACCAGCUGUUCAUGGACCAUGAAUACCCAUGUCACCACAUCACUUCUCACUGCACCUGGGUGGCAGCACACUGGACCACGUCUCAGAGCUGCGCAGCAUGGCAGGGCUGCAGGCGGGCUUGCUGCUCCACGUGGUGGAAGAGCCCUGCACAAUGCACAAGGCCCACGGUGAUGAGUGCCACAUUUGAGACUGCUCAGGAGCCUGGACCCAGCUGAUGCAGCUCCUUGUCCUUCCUGAGCGUCUUCACUGACAGUGGCCUGAGAGCCCCUGAAAGUGCUCACCGUGAGCGGCUGGUACCUGUCCCCUGGGAACUGCAAGAUGCACAGGACCUUGUGUACCUGUUUGUGAUCACAGCCGAGGACCAGCGAGCCCCAGUACUGGAACGAGGAGCUGCAGAUGAUGAGGGACCUACCCAACAAGAACCAACCUGAGCAGCUGCUUCAAGAAAAAGCCAUGUUCAAGGUGCCUGAAUCCCCUGGUAAGUGAGUGACAGCCUCACAGCCUCAGGCCCACCUGGCUCCUGCUGGAAGGUUUUCUUGUGCUCGGGAGAGAAGUGAGGGAAGCCGGCAGUCCCAGCCCUGUCAGGUGCCCUGAAGGCCCGUCAGGUUUGCCCUGCAAGGCCUUCUAGCAUUCUGCUUCCUGGGAGACCAUCCCCCACCUUUCUCCGGCCUCUGAGACUUUGAGUCCUUGGGAGGAGAAGGCCCUCCUUGCUAUCUGGGCUGAGUGGCCAGGGCCAUCCAGCUUCCCACCCUCCACUGACUGCCAUGGGGCCCUCCCCUGAGCACAUGGUGCCCAACUGUAGCCCUUCUAGGGCAGGGGCUCAUUGGCAGCACUUGCAGCUUGCUGGCACUUAAAAGUCAUUAGUGCGGUUACUGAGAGAAAUGAGGAAAAAAUAAUUGUUAAAAAAAAAAAAAAA